CAAUAGCGUAUAUUAUUGAUGUUGCAGUUGAAACGUUCGUAGUCGAAUCUUAUCUGCCAAAGCAUUGUGUCAUUUAUGAUGACAUAAUGCUCUCGGCAGAGAUUGUACAAGCAUGUCUGACCUUGUAUCUUACUUUGAGUGAAUCGGCGUGUUCCACGCAGGCAUGUGCCUUGAACGAUUUACCAUAGCAUAAUCAGAGUAUGGAACUGCUUCCUUGUUUGUUCGGAAGCUCUUUCGAUACUGAUAGGAACGGUUGAGGGCAUUCGUAUUCGACUGCUAGAGGUGAAAUUCUUUGAUUAGUCGAGGACGAACUAUUGCGAAAGCAUCUGCCAAGGACGUUUCCUUUG
rnacentral:rRNA from 1 species